CAGCAGCCACGGGAAUACGGAGGGAGCUAGCGUUGUUCGGAAUUACUGGGCGUAAAGCGCGCGUAGGCGGUUACUCAAGUCAGAGGUGAAAGCCCGGGGCUCAACCCCGGAACUGCCUUUGAAACUAGGUGACUAGAAUCUUGGAGAGGUCAGUGGAAUUCCGAGUGUAGAGGUGAAAUUCGUAGAUAUUCGGAAGAACACCAGUGGCGAAGGCGACUGACUGGACAAGUAUUGACGCUGAGGUGCGAAAGCGUGGGGAGCAAACAGGAUUAGAUACCCCUGUAGUCCCUGUCUCUUAUAC
rnacentral:rRNA from 1 species